rnacentral:misc_RNA from 3 species
AACGCACAUUGCGCCCUUCGGUAUUCCGUUGGGCAUGCCUGUUCGAGCGUCAUUUAAACCUUCAAGCUAUGCUUGGUGUUGGGUCUUGUUCGCGUCUUUGUGCGUGGACUGGCCUUAAAUUCAUUGGCAGCCGGUAUGUUGGUUUCGUGCGCAGCACAUUGCGUUUUGAUUCCAGCCUGCCCCCUUCCAUUAAGCCUCUUUUUUACUUUGACCUCGGAUCAGGUAGGGAUACCCGCUGAACUUAA